ACACGCCACAGCUCAUCAGAUGUCGAUGUGAUCUACCUGACCAGCUGACGACAGGGAGAGCUGAGAGACAGAGAGGAGGAGGAGGGAGAGAAACAAGAGAGCUGACAUGGGCCGGAUAAGAGGACAGAGAAGUGCAGGAGUGAGAGUGAAUGGAGAACUUUCCUGAAGAUUGCUGCUAUUCUCCGGCUUAUUGCCUCCUGUCCUUCAUGGUUUCACAUGACGUCCCGGGUGUCAGGAUCGCCUUCAGGCUGGAAAUGAGGAAGCUGAUGAUACGAGCGGACUGGGAUCAAAAAGGAGGAAAUUGGCAAAGGUGGAAAGAAACAAACAUAAAAUAAAUACACUUCCAAAAG